rnacentral:rRNA from 1 species
UGAGUGGCGAAAGGGUGCGUAACACGUGGGAAUUUACCAAAAAGUGGGGAAUCUUGGCGAAAGCCAAAUUAAUACCGCAUGUGAUCGAAAGAUCAAAGUCGGGGACCGCAGCCUGACGCUUUUUGAGAAGCCCGCGGCCCAUCAGCUAGUUGGCGAGGUAAAAGCUCAAAGGCUAUGACGGGUAGCUGGUCUGAGAGGACGACCAGCCACACUGGAACUGAGACACUCCAGACACCUACGGGUGGCAGCAGUCGAGAAUUUUUCACAAUGGACGAAAGUCUGAUAGCGACGCCGCGUGGAGGAUGAAGGUUUUCGGAUUGUAAACUCCUGUCACUGCAGAACGGGUGCGCAUGUUAAUAGCAAGCGCAUUUGAUGGUAUGCGGAGAGGAAGGGACGGCUAUCUGUGCCAGCAGCCGCGGUAAGACAGAGGUCCCGAGCGUUGUUCGGAUUCAUUGGGCAAAGGGUGUGUAGGAGGCCAGGUAAGUCAGGUGUGAAAUCUCAGAGCUUAACUCUGAAUGCGCUUGAUACUGCUUGGCUAGAGGAUCGGAGGGGGUAACGGAAUUUAUGGUGUAGCUGAAAUGCGUAGAUAUCAUAAGGAACACCGGUGGCGAAGGCGGUUACCUGGAAGAUUCGACUCUGAAACACGAAAGCCAGGGGAGCAAACGGGAUUAGAUACCCCGGUAGUCCUGGGUAAACGGUGUGCAUUGGGCGUAUGCGGAUUCGACCCCGUAUGUGUCGUAGAUAACUC